GAGAAGCUCUCUUGUGAAGAUUCCCCUCGAGAUCAUUGAUUUCUUGUUCUAUAGCUUGGGAUGGUCUAGGUGGAUCAAUGGAAAAGCCAAAAGCAGCUUCUUCCUGGUGAGGGUUGAAUUUCUCACUCCGAGAAUUGAAUUGACCUUCUCUUUUCUGUAUUUAAGUACCCACUUAAUAAAUAUAGAUGCAAAAAUAGAUCAAAAAAUAGAGAAGAUAGAUCACAAUGGAUAACAGAUGCUAGAGAUUUAUUGUUAAAUUACAAAACAUACCUGCAAUAUAUAUAAUAACAGAUGCUAGAGAUUUGGUAAGCUCAAUUUAUCUGAAUUCGUUUAUAUGUGAAUUCGUUUAUCUGAAAUGAUAUGGAUGAUUUUGAUGUAGUAGCCCUGUCUUUUCUAUAUAUACACG
rnacentral:lncRNA from 1 species